rnacentral:rRNA from 1 species
CGGACGGGUGAGUAACGCGUGAGAAUCUGCCAUCAGGUCUGGGACAACCACUGGAAACGGUGGCUAAUACCGGAUGUGCCCGUAAUUGGGUGAAAGGUUAACUGCCUGUUGAUGAGCUCGCGUCUGAUUAGCUAGUUGGAAGUGUAAUGGACUCCCAAGGCGACGAUCAGUAGCUGGUCUGAGAGGACGAUCAGCCACACUGGGACUGAGACACGGCCCAGACUCCUACGGGAGGCAGCAGUGGGGAAUUUUCCGCAAUGGGCGAAAGCCUGACGGAGCAAUACCGCGUGAGGGAGGAAGGCUCUUGGGUCGUAAACCUCUUUUCUCAGGGAAGAACACAAUGACGGUACCUGAGGAAUAAGCAUCGGCUAACUCCGUGCCAGCAGCCGCGGUAAUACGGAGGAUGCAAGCGUUAUCCGGAAUGAUUGGGCGUAAAGCGUCCGCAGGUGGCAAUGUAAGUCUGCUGUUAAAGAGUCUAGCUCAACUAGAUAAGAGCAGUGGAAACUACAUAGCUAGAGUACGUUCGGGGCAGAGGGAAUUCCUGGUGUAGCGGUGAAAUGCGUAGAGAUCAAGAAGAACACCAGUGGCGAAGGCGCUCUGCUAGGCCGUAACUGACACUGAGGGACGAAAGCUAGGGGAGCGAAUGGGAUUAGAUACCCCAGUAGUC